rnacentral:rRNA from 1 species
CGGACGGGUGAGUAACACGUGAGCAACCUGCCUUUAAGAGGGGGAUAACGUUUGGAAACGAACGCUAAUACCGCAUAACAUAGAAGAUCCGCAUGUUUCUUCUAUCAAAGAUUUAUCGCUUAAAGAUGGGCUCGCGUCUGAUUAGCUGGUUGGUGAGGUAACGGCUCACCAAGGCGACGAUCAGUAGCCGUACUGAGAGGUAGAACGGCCACAUUGGGACUGAGACACGGCCCAG